rnacentral:misc_RNA from 1 species
AGAAUGAGCUCGAGUUUACAAUAGCCGAACCCAAAUGUUAAAAAACUCUCACAACCCUGUAAAUCUUAGAAUGAUUCCAACAAUACAUUAUAACCCAGACACAUAGAUGAGCAUGAAAAAGUCUGAUCCUUCUCACAAGAGAUUCAAACAUGAGCUUUCUGCUUCACUAAAUCAACAAACUACAGGCAGCAAAUAGGUGGAGCCUCUCAGCAGAAGUUGAACUCUUUCUCCAAAAGUCAAAGAUAAACCAUCAACAAUAAACUAAGAAAAAAAAGAAAAAAGACCUUGUGACUUCAUUUUUCAUGAUCAAUUUCAAAGGUAUAAAUACAAUCAUGCUAACUAGCCAUGAAUUCUAUGACGACUACAAGAUUAUUAUAUUUAUAGCCACUUAUCAAGUCUAGCCUAACAAAAGCUUCUCAAACUACCUUGCAGCAACCUUAUUAUGACAGAGCUACCUCAAAGAGUAAAUAAGCGUCUGUUAUGUUCAACUGGUGUCCCAAUGAUAAGCUCAAAAAGCACUGUUUAGUAACUUGGGCAGCUUGCAUUACAAGCACCAACUUUUUAUAGCACAGCCAAAUAUAUGCACAAAGGCACACACAACAAACUCCACCACAGCAACACAUAUAUGCCUCACAUUGUAAGACGGGAACUAAACAGAGACAUUAAAAUAAUAACCCUGUUAAUCAUAGCCACUCAUUCUCUAACCCACAGUAGGCACAACCUUAGCUUUCUUCUGCUCUGCUUUCCUUCUCAUUCCUUCUAUCAUCUGUUCAGUAGCUUCAAUUAUCUGAUUCGGCAAAUGCACCUCCAUAUAAUCCAACCACUGCCCCAGUGCCAUCUUCUCCAAAUCGACUAUUUCCUGCCCUUUUCCCAAAUUCUCACUUGCAUUAAUUUGUGCCUUGCUACCACUUUCUUUAAGACCACCCAAAUUCUCAGCAUCUUCACAAUUCGUUUCUGCAUCCAGUCGCUCUUUUAUCUCACAUUCUUCCACAAUCUCACAUUUUAUUUCCUUAUUUUCCCCAAAACCAGCUUCAUUAGCCUGAUCGUGCGCGUCUUCUGUUAAAUUCAAUCCGAAAUCUAUGUUCUCCUUGUUUCCAAGAAAACUAACUUGAGAGUUCUCCGAUCGCAAAUCCUGCAGCUUCUUUCUCCUUCGCUUUCCCACUGGAGCCAUUUUACUACAUUCCCCACCCAAAUUCUCCAAAAUCACGCAAUCCUCAUUGUUUCUGCCUCCAGUUACCCUAAGAUUCAGUCCUUGCAUAUCCAGUUUCUCGGCGACGCCCAAAUUUCCCGAUUCUUUAUCAGUCCUCUUGACCUUAACCAAAACCCUAGCUUUCCUCGUUCUUCCUCUUCUCUGAAUUGGCUCACUUUCCUCCAAAUUCUCAACAUUUUCUCUCUCCAAUUCACUCUUCUCUUCAGUUUUUAUCACCUCUGCUCUCCGGCCCCGGUUCUUUGCUGCCGGUCCUGUUUUAUCCGAUUCACUGACAUUUCUCCUUGGGUUGCGUCUUAACAGAGACGGCUCGUCUCCACCGUGGAACUGAACGAGGAUGGAGGUGUACUCGCCGAGCUUGAGGGUGUCACCAUAGCGAAGAUUGAAGGGUUGGAAGGGGGGGAGCUUGGAGGAGUUGAGGGUGGUGCCGUUGGAGGAAUUAAGGUCUUGGACGAUCCAUUUACCCGAUUCGGAUCCGAUAAGCAAGUUGUUUUGACGAGAUGCCAGCAUCCUUGAUAGGAAGGUUGUUGCCGCGGACCACCCGGCCUAUCCGGACGUGGAUCCGGGUCGGAAUCCCAAGGUCUCGCCCUCUCAGGGCCCUUUACGGUUCAUGAAUCGUCAGCUUAUGUUUAAUAAAAUCAUGAACCUGAAUCAAACCGCCAGGGGAAGGUUUGGAAGACAAUUCUUGAACCGCCGGUUCUGGUUUGAUC